GGAUUUUCCUGUCAGCGAGGCUUCCC
rnacentral:piRNA from 1 species